UGUGUAGGUGGUUGUUUAAGUUUGGUGUGAAAUCUCCCGGCUCAACUGGGAGGGUGCGCCGAAUACUGAAUGACUAGAGUGCGGGAGAGGAAAGUGGAAUUCCUGGUGUAGCGGUGAAAUGCGUAGAUAUCAGGAGGAACACCGGUGGUGUAGACGGCUUUCUGGACCGUAACUGACGCUGAGACACGAAAGCGUGGGUAGCAAACA
rnacentral:rRNA from 1 species